CCUUACUCAUCAAACCUACUUGAAUAUCUGGAAAUCUAGAACUAGAAUAGCUCAUCUUAUUCAUCAAUUUCUUUGAUUCAAUCUCUUCCACUUGUCAAUACAAUCAAGCUGAGUUGUUGCAUCUAUGGAGCACCAUAACAACUAUAAAUAGCUGCUCAACCAUCCCAAAUGAAACACAAAUCAGAUUAACCACUAAUUCCUAAUUCACCAUUAAAAUUCCUUAAAAUUAAUUCAAGAAAUUUCCACCACCACCACCACUUACUGCUGCCGCCACCACCACUUCCUGCCACCACCACCCUGACCGCCCAACACCACCACGACCACCGCACACCCUUUCGCCACUCGUCGUCCUCCACGCCCAGCCUCCCCUGCCUCCAUCUCCUCUGCGCCCAUCCCCCUCCGUCUUCCUCUCUUCCACGAAGCCACGCAACUGCCACCACCCAGCACCGCAUCUCCCCCGCAACCACCAUCACCAGCCCACUGCGCCGCUCAGACCCAACCACAACUCCCUCCACCUUGCCGAGCAGCGACACCUGCAACCCCUCCUCUCUCAUUUUCGGCUCUGUUCUUGCUCUCUUCUUGGUCGUUUUUUCACAAAGCCAGGAAAUCAAAUUCCAAAACUCUGGCUAAUUAAAAAAAAAAAAAAACAGUUGGAGGCUGGCCCAAUUCUAACUACUUGGGCUUUGAAUUCGGACUCGGAGCUCAGAAAGAACGAACCAAGGACAAAGCUUAACGUAACGCGGAAUUAAGGUACUGCGGGGAUCAAUGGAGACGAGUAGUGGCGAGGAAUUUCACUUGAAUAAUAUUCACUUAGUUUAUACUUAAUGUUUUAAUAGUUUAAUUAAAGACUCUUAGUAAGUUAUGUACUUUUAUUUCGGUAAUAUAAAGAAUUAUUAUAAUAACUUUUGGGAUUUAAUAGCUUAUGAUUGAUGGUUGCCUUGUAAUUCCCAAUAGGGAGUUACGGCAGGUAAUGUCCCGACCAAAUUAGGUUAAUUCCGCUGCUAAUUAUGCUUUAAUAAUUGAAUUAGAGGUCGGGGCGUUACAGAAAGAGUGACUUAGAGUUAAGUUAGAGAGAGAAAGAGUGACUUAGAGUUAAGUUAGAGAGAGAAAGAGUGACUUAGAGUUAAGUCAGAGUGAGAAAGA